GUCUCAGUUUGCCAGGCCUGCCAUGGGGUAGAGCCCCAGAUUGGGGUGGAAGGUUCCUGAAGCCUCCUGGCCCGGUACCGGGCUCUGUCUUUGUAGAUCUCCAACAGGGACAUCACUGAAGGGCUGGUCAACGGGUUCAACUACUCGACCUCCCUCAACCCGGGGAAGGUGCAUCAGGCCACAGACACCAUCCAGGGCCGGACUCAGUAUGCAGCUGAGUUCACUCUGAGACUAUGUGAAGCCCGCAGGAUGCGAGACCUCCAGAAAGGCAUGUUGGAGAAGGUGGCAGAGUCCCUGGUACCAGCUUUCCCGGCUGGCAACAUCCCCCACAUCUGCACCCUGAUGCCCACCCGCCCGGCCUUCUCCAGAGCCCAGUGGUUCCUGGACGAGCUGUUAACAAGGUCCUGUCCCCAUCCAUCAGAGCUGAUGCCAUCAAGGUGUUUCCACAUCUGGAGGGAUAACCCCUCAUAAUGACCGGGGAGACACACCGCAGGAGCAAUUAGCAAAGGCCACCGCUUCUGUGAUGGGAACCUGGCCGGACCGGGUACAAUAUUUGGGCCAGACACUCCUUUCUCCAUGGUUCCUCCUGAAGGAGGCCUUGGUGCUGCACAGCCGCCCUGCCCCAUACCCGGUGGGCCUUGUGAGAAGUCUUUGGGUGGAGCUGGCGCAUCUAGAGCCCACUGAGGCACAGU